AUGUUUUCAUACUCUUAUUUCUUACAGAAAGGAAUUCCAACAACUAGACACACACACACACAACACCACCACCACCAUCACCACCACCACCAUCACCACCACCACCAUCACCACCACCACCAUCACCACCACCACCAUCACCACCACCACCAUCACCACCACCACCAUCACCACCACCACCAUCACCACCACCACCAUCACCACCACCACCAUCACCACCACCACCAUCACCACCACCACCAUCACCACCACCACCAUCACCACCACCACCAUCACCACCACCACCAUCACCACCACCACCAUCACCACCACCACCAUCACCACCACCACCAUCACCACCACCACCAUCACCACCACCACCAUCACCACCACCACCAUCACCACCACCACCAUCACCACCACCACCAUCACCACCACCACCAUCACCACCACCACCAUCACCACCACCACCAUCACCACCACCACCAUCACCACCACCACCAUCACCACCACCACCAUCACCACCACCACCAUCACCACCACCACCAUCACCACCACCACCAUCACCACCACCACCAUCACCACCACCACCAUCACCACCACCACCAUCACCACCACCACCAUCACCACCACCACCAUCACCACCACCACCAUCACCACCACCACCAUCACCACCACCACCAUCACCACCACCACCAUCACCACCACCACCAUCACCACCACCACCAUCACCACCACCACCAUCACCACCACCACCAUCACCACCACCACCAUCACCACCACCACCAUCACCACCACCACCAUCACCACCACCACCAUCACCACCACCACCAUCACCACCACCACCAUCACCACCACCACCAUCACCACCACCACCAUCACCACCACCACCAUCACCACCACCACCACCACCACCACCACCAUCACCACCACCACCAUCACCACCACCACCAUCACCACCACCACCAUCACCACCACCACCAUCACCACCACCACCAUCACCACCACCACCAUCACCACCACCACCAUCACCACCACCACCAUCACCACCACCACCAUCACCACCACCACCAUCACCACCACCACCAUCACCACCACCACCAUCACCACCACCACCAUCACCACCACCACCAUCACCACCACCACCAUCACCACCACCACCAUCACCACCACCACCAUCACCACCACCACCAUCACCACCACCACCAUCACCACCACCACCAUCACCACCACCACCAUCACCACCACCACCAUCACCACCACCACCAUCACCACCACCACCAUCACCACCACCACCCAGCCAUUGCCAGCAGAGUCUGGACACUCUGA
rnacentral:lncRNA from 1 species